rnacentral:rRNA from 1 species
GAUGAACGUUGGCGGUACGCCUAAUACAUGCAAGUCGAACGGAGAUUGUAGCAAUACGGUCUUAGUGGCGAACGGGUGAGUAACGCGUUGGUGAUCUGCCUUGAAGUGUGGAAUAACGGUUCGAAAGAACCGCUAAUACCGCAUGGUCUCUCUUUUUUUAGAAAUUAGAGAGUAAAGGAUUUAUCCGCUUCAAGAGGAGCCUGCGUCCCAUCAGCUAGUUGGUAGGGUAAAAGCCUACCAAGGCUAUGACGGGUAGGGGACCUGAGAGGGUGACCCCCCACAAUGGAACUGAAACACGGUCCAUACACCUACGGGUGGCAGCAGUAGGGAAUAUUAGUAAUGGAGGAAACUCUGAACUAGCGAUACCGCGUGUGCGAAGAAGGCCUUCGGGUUGUAAAGCACUUUUUGAGAGGAUGAGGAAGGACGGUACUCUCAGAAUAAGUCUCGGCUAACUACGGCACGCAGACGCGGUAAACGGUAACGUACGUACGUCUCGUAGCGGCGGCGGUCGACGACGGCGACAGUAG